rfam:Salmo salar isolate Sally breed double haploid chromosome ssa12, whole genome shotgun sequence.
CCUUGACUGUGUUGUAAGUCGCUCUGGAUAAGAGCGUCUGCUAAAUGAUGUAAA